rnacentral:rRNA from 1 species
AGCAGCCGCGGUAAUUCCAGCUCCAAUAGCGUAUAUUAAAGUUGUUGCAGUUAAAAGCUCGUAGUUGAAUUUCGGGAUUAGUACGUUGGUCGUGCCUUCGGUACGUACUGGUGUUACUGAUUCCUACCUUCUGACGAACCGUCAUGUCAUUAAUUUGAUGUGGCGGGGAAUCAGGACUGUUACUUUGAAAAAUUGAGUGUUUAAAGCAGGCUCGCGCUUGAAUACAUUAGCAUGGAAUAAUGAAAUAGGACGUUCGAUCCUAUUUUGUUGGUUUCUGGGAUUGACGUAAUGAUUAAUAGGGAUAGGUUGGGGGCAUUAGUAUUCAAUUGUCAGAGGUGAAAUUCUUGGAUUUAU